UUAGUUUCUUAUACACAGAGAGAUGAUGGGGAAGUGACGGAACCCUUGACAUUGCUCUUUGUCAACCAAAGUGCCAUAUGGUGCUGGCACUGGGAAAGGCCCAGCCUGUGUCGCUUUCUGUGGUCCUGGAAGGGACUGACUCAUUUAAAUAAACCCGAAUUUAUGGCGCCCACAUACGCACGCACGCACUUUGAGUGAUUGGGGCCGCUUAAACUUGGCUCACAUGGAUUCGGGCCGGCUGCUGGAUGCUGGAUGCUGGAUGCUCCUGCUGCUGCCUGGAAAUUGGCUCGGUCGAGGGCUACUUCCGUUACAACAAUGGUGUGAUUUAUACGAUGAGGGCGUAUGGAAAUUUCAUUACAUUCAUGACAGUCUUUUUUUUUUAUGGCAACCGAUGGAGGAGCAACGAACGGAAGUUUAGUUUAAUCGAAGUUGUUGUCACGAUCUGGCGGGACCUCUGAUUGAUUGCCCCUCAUUGAUAAGCUGCCAAAUGACAUUUGGCGUUUUAUUGUUUGUCGCUGCUACUCUGCUGGCUUGCCAGCUUCAAAUUAAGUUUGCCCAGUUUGCUCAGAUUGCUGUUUUUCCAUUCAGAAAAGGCGAAAUUGCACCAAAUUGAAAUUUGUUACAUCAAGCAACAAGCCAGGCAGCUGCUACUCUGCGACCCCUUCUCCUCGGGAUUGCCAUUGUUUGAUUUUGGCAAGGAGGAGCUACCAAAAAAAAAAAUUCUUCCUCCCUGCAGUUUGUCGCGAAAACGAGGGACUUAUAAGGAGACGUUGUUGACUUGGCAAAAAGUGCACUUAUACAAAUGUGUUUCUGACAUACGGUAUUGUUAUUAAGUUCAACGAAGAAGCAAAAAUAAAUUAUAUUUCUGAAUUAGUAAGUUA